CGGUUUGGUGACGCGGAGGGACAUUACCGAGUUUACAACUCCCAAACCCAAUGUGAACCAUACCAAACUGUUGCCUCGGCGGGGUCACGCCCCGGGUGCGUCGCAGCCCCGGAACCAGGCGCCCGCCGGAGGGACCAACCAAACUCUUUACUGUAGUCCCCUCGCGGACGUUAUUUCUUACAGCUCUGAGCAAAAAUUCAAAAUGAAUCAAAACUUUCAACAACGGAUCUCUUGGUUCUGGCAUCGAUGAAGAACGCAGCGAAAUGCGAUAAGUAAUGUGAAUUGCAGAAUUCAGUGAAUCAUCGAAUCUUUGAACGCACAUUGCGCCCGCCAGUAUUCUGGCGGGCAUGCCUGUCCGAGCGUCAUUUCAACCCUCGAACCCCUCCGGGGGUCCGGCGUUGGGGAUCGGGAACCCCUCAGACGGGAUCCCGGCCCCGAAAUACAGUGGCGGUCUCGCCGCAGCCUCUCCUGCGCAGUAGUUUGCACAACUCGCACCGGGAGCGCGGCGCGUCCACGUCCGUAAAACACCCAACUUUCUGAAAUGUUGACCUCGGAUCAGGUAGGAAUACCCGCUGAACUUAAGCAUAUCAAAAAGCGGGAGGA
rnacentral:rRNA from 1 species